rnacentral:rRNA from 1 species
UACAUGGGGUGCAAACGUUGCUCGGAAUCAUUGGGCGUAAAGCGCGCGUAGGCGGUUACUUAAGUUGGAUGUGAAAGCCCUCGGCUUAACCGAGGAAGUGCAUCCGAAACUGAGUAGCUAGAGUACGAAAGAGGGUCGCGGAAUUCCCGGUGUAGAGGUGAAAUUCGUAGAUAUCGGGAGGAACACCAGUGGCGAAGGCGGCUCACUGGACCGGUUCUGACGCUGAGGCGCGAAAGCGUGGGGAGCAAACGGGG